rnacentral:tRNA from 1 species
GCCUCCGUGGUGGAAUGGUAGACACGCCGGUUUUAGGAACCGGUGCUGAAAAGCGUGUCGGUUCGAUCCCGACUGGAGGCA